GGGUCAGUGGGUUGGUCGUGCCACCGGUACGUACUGGUCUCACUGAUUCCUCCUUCCUGAAGAACCGUAAUGCCAUUAAUUUGGUGUUGCGGGGAAACAGGACUGUUACUUUGAAAAAAUUAGAGUGUUUAAAGCAAGCUAACGCUUGAAUACAUUAGCAUGGAAUAAUGGAAUAGGACGAUCGAUCCUAUUUUGUUGGUUUCUAGGAUUGACGUA
rnacentral:rRNA from 1 species